rnacentral:rRNA from 1 species
UACAGAGGGGGCGAGCGUUGUUCGGAAUUACUGGGCGUAAAGGGCGCGUAGGCGGCCAACUAAGUCAGACGUGAAAUCCCUCGGCUCAACCGGGGGAACUGCGUCUGAUACUGGAUGGCUUGAAUUCGGGAGAGGGAUGCGGAAUUCCAGGUGUAGCGGUGAAAUGACGUAGAUAUCUGGAGGAACACCGGUGGCGAAGGCGGCAUCCUGGGGAUAACACUGACGCUCAUGCACGAAAGC